UGCCAGCAGCCGCGGUAAUACGGAGGGGGUUAGCGUUGUUCGGAAUUACUGGGCGUAAAGCGCACGUAGGCGGAUCAGAAAGUAUAGGGUGAAAUCCCAGGGCUCAACCCUGGAACUGCCUUAUAAACUCCUGGUCUUGAGUUCGAGAGAGGUGAGUGGAAUUCCGAGUGUAGAGGUGAAAUUCGUAGAUAUCGGGAAGAACACCGGUGGCGAAGGCGACCAUCUGGUCCGACACUGACGCUGAGGCGCGAAAGCGUGGGGAGCAAACAGGAUUAGAUA
rnacentral:rRNA from 1 species